UACAGAGGUCCAAGCCGUUGUUCGGAUUCACUGGGCGUAAAGAGCGUGUAGGCGGUUAGGUAGGUCCGUUGUGAAAACUCGAGGCUCAACCUCGAGACGCCGAUGGAAACCAUCUGACUAGAGUCCGGAAGAGGAGAGUGGAAUUCCGUGGUGUAGCGGUGAAAUGCGCAGAUAUCAGGAAGAACACCCGUGGCUAAGGCGGCUCUCUAGUACGGUACUGACGCUGAGACGCGAAAGCGUUGGGGAGCGAACAGG
rnacentral:rRNA from 1 species